GUGGGGAAUUUUGGACAAUGGGGGCAACCCUGAUCCAGCCAUGCCGCGUGCGGGAAGAAGGCCUUCGGGUUGUAAACCGCUUUUGUCAGGGAAGAAAUCCUUUGGGUUAAUACCUCGGAGGGAUGACGGUACCUGAAGAAUAAGCACCGGCUAACUACGUGCCAGCAGCCGCGGUAAUACGUAGGGUGCGAGCGUUAAUCGGAAUUACUGGGCGUAAAGCGUGCGCAGGCGGUUUUGUAAGAUCGAUGUGAAAUCCCCGGGCUCAACCUGGGAACUGCAUUGGUGACUGCAAGGCUGGAGUGCGGCAGAGGGGGAUGGAAUUCCGCGUGUAGCAGUGAAAUGCGUAGAUAUGCGGAGGAACACCGAUGGCGAAGGCAAUCCCCUGGGCCUGCACUGACGCUCAUGCACGAAAGCGUGGGGAGCAAACAGGAUUAGAAACCCCGGUAGUCC
rnacentral:rRNA from 1 species